rnacentral:rRNA from 1 species
GACGAACGCUGGCGGCGUGCCUAACACAUGCAAGUGGAGCGACGAACCAGGCUUCGGCCUGGGGCAGAGCCGCGAACGGGUGAGUAACACGUGGGUAACCUGCCCUGAUGAUUGGGACAACCCGAGGAAACUCGGGCUAAUACCAAAUGUGCCCCCUGGCCGUAAGGCCUCUGGGAAAGAGCUUCGGCCUCCGCAUCGGGAUGGGCCCGCGGCCCAUUAGCUUGUUGGUGAGGUAAUGGCNCACCAAGGCUACGAUGGGUAGCUGGUCUGAGAGGACGAUCAGCCACACUGGGACUGAGACACGGCCCAGACUCCUACGGGAGGCAGCAGUGGGGAAUCUUGCGCAAUGCGCGAAAGCGUGACGCAAGCAACGCCGCGUGGGGGAAGAAGGCC